rnacentral:misc_RNA from 1 species
GAUGAAGAACGCAGCGAAAUGCGAUACGUAAUGUGAAUUGCAGAUUUCAGUGAAUCAUCGAAUCUUUGAACGCACAUUGCGCCCGCUAGUAUUCUGGCGGGCAUGCCUGUUCGAGCGUCAUUUCAACCAUCAAGCCCUGUGCUUGUGUUGGAGCCCUGCGGCUGCCGCAGGCUCCCAAACCCAGUGGCGGGCUCGUCGUCGUACCGAGUGCAGUAAACAUACCACGCUCAGGGCACGCGACGGGUGACCGGCCGUAAAACCCCCCCCCUUCUCAAGGUUGACCUCGGAUCAGGUAGGAAUACCCGCUGAACUUAAGCAUAUCAUAAGCGGAGGA